GUUUCCAGCAUUUAAUGACUUGUUUGGUAAGGUUGUAAGGCGUGCUGGAAAUGGUGCUGCAAGGACACACAUGGAGCCUCCAACAGUGGCUCAGUUAGCAGUGUGAUGAACCUCUCAGUGCUGUGGCUUCCUGGCUCCUGGCUGAAGCAGAAGCAUCUAAAACAUAUCCAGAGAGGUCUGCAGAUCCGGUGGAGAUGGGAGCUCCUGUGCCUUUCCUCAAUGCUCUGCCUAAAACCUCCACUCUCUGGUGGCGAGGAGCCUCUCGGUUGGCCAAGGCCCCAUUCCAAGGAGGGAAGAUGCACCCUGCCCCUCUGCCAGCCCGGUCAGAUUUGGCUGCUGUGUCAGGAGUUCUGGUCAGAACUCAUCCUUGCAUGUAGAAAGAAGCUGUCUGCGAGGUGUCUUCUAGGAAUAAAAGCUCUAAUCUGCUGCACUGGGUUUAAUAAAUAUUUCAUCAUCCACCGUUUGGAAUAUUCUCCUGGUGAACCUCAGCAGCUGCACGUCGUGAAAAUAAUGCCUGGUUCGAGAGUGGGGGUUUGCUUCCAUGUUCUGGGCAGUGCACAACUGUACGUCUUGAUAUCGCAGAUAAUCUGGGUUGCUCCUAUCUCAGGGCCUGUACUUCUAUCUCUGUGCAACGCCAUCUCACAGAAGCAUUUUGCAGAAUAA
rnacentral:lncRNA from 1 species